rnacentral:lncRNA from 10 species
GUCUGUUUUCACUCCUGAUGGAUAAUUUAUUUGGGCAUAGAGUUCAAUAUCAAAUGUCAUUUCUCUUAGAAUUUUUAAUGCAUUACUCCAUCACCAGGAUUGCAAUUGAAAAAUCAAGUACAAUGUUAUUUUGAUUUUUGACUUUAUGUAGAUGAACUUUUUUUUUUUUCCUAAUUUUGGAAGAUCUUGGACCUUUCACUCUUGGUAUUUUGAUUUUGAAAGUUCAUGAUUUUGGGCCGUGGUGUGGAUUUUCCAUUAUUCAUUGUAUUGAGAAUCUGGCCAUAUCCAGUAACAGAGUCUACUGCAUCAUAUUAACUGAUAAACCCAGGAUGACAAGA